UACGAAGGGGGCUAGCGUUGCUCGGAAUCACUGGGCGUAAAGGGUGUGUAGGCGGGGCUUUAAGUCAGGGGUGAAAUCCUGGAGCUCAACUCCAGAACUGCCUUUGAUACUGAGGAUCUUGAGUAUGGGAGAGGUGAGUGGAACUGCGAGUGUAGAGGUGAAAUUCGUAGAUAUUCGCAAGAACACCAGUGGCGAAGGCGGCUCACUGGCCCGUAACUGACGCUGAGGCACGAAAGCGUGGGGAGCGAACAGG
rnacentral:rRNA from 1 species